UAAAACCAGCACCUCAAGUGGUCAGGAUGUUUAUUGGGCCUAAAGCAUCCGUGGCCGGCUUUGUAAGUUUUCGGUUAAAUCUAUAUGCUCAACAUAUAGGCUGCCGGGAAUACUGCAAAGCUAGGGAGUGGGAGAGGUAGACGGUACUCCGUAGGAAGGGGUAAAAUCCUUUGAUCUAUGGAUGACCACCUGUGGCGAAGGCGGUCUACCAGAACACGUCUGACGGUGAGGGAUGAAAGCUGGGGGAGCAAACCGGAUUAGAUACCCGGGUAGUCCCGGCUGUAAACGAUGCAAACUCAGUGAUGCAUUGGCUUGUGGCCAGUGCAGUGCCGCAGGGAAGCCGUUAAGUUUGCCGCCUGGGAAGUACGUACGCAAGUAUG
rnacentral:rRNA from 2 species